rnacentral:sRNA from 1 species
UCACUACGAUUUGCAAUAAGUGGGUGGA